AAGCAAUUUUCCGGAAAUCCUUCCCAAAUGUGGCUAGCUUAUCCAUGAAAAUUUCUCUCUCUUCUGAGGUCCAGGGAUUGAUCAUAGCUCUCUCCUUCUCAACAACACAAGGAUCUUCAAUUAAUCCAUUUCUGGAGAUAAAUCGUGAAACCAUCCUCUCUUUUUUGUCCAAAAUUAAAGCUGGCAUUUUCAAAGCAUUUCUGUAUUGCUCGACUUGAGAAACUUGCAGCACCUUGCUGGUAAAGUUAAGCAUUUCUGUUGUAGUGACAAGACUUAAAUUUCCACCUGCCAAAACAGUUCCAAAAAAAAAAAAAUUAUAUAUUGAUAGUAAAACUAAAGGUCAUUAGAAGUCAAAAAUUCAAACAAGAGAAUUUUUCCACCAUCAAAUCAUUCUCAAAAAUAGGAAAUAGCAUCAUUACUCAUUAUCUACAGUGAACUCCAAUAACUAUAAGCUAAGAAGGAAGCCUUUCAGGUUUUAAAAGCCAUUAACAUAGCAGGAAUCAAAAUUCACCACAUACAACAACAAAAGGGAGGCAAAAGCAACUGGCUUCACCUUUAGAAAAUACCAUCACCAAUCCCAGAGAGAGAAAAAAAAAAGGCAAUUUCACAUUCACCUUACUUCACCCUGAGCAAACCUUUUGCAGCAUGAGAAGCAGGAUCACAUUUUGAAACAUAGAACCCACCAACCUUUCAAAUCUCUUAAAAAAACUCCAAAACAUUACUAACUUAAAACCCUUCCUCAACAAUUACUUUCUACAUCAUCACCACCAACAUUGAAAAUCUCUGCCAAUCCCAGAAUUGAUGAGAAGGGCAAAUGAAGAAUAGCCCACCUUGACAUAAAAGCUAUCGGUGAUAAAGCAAAUUCAGGCAUAAAAAAAUACCAUAAAAAAUUCAUAAAACCUCAAUUGUGCCAUCUGAACUAUCCCAAAGGUUUUGGCAUCCAAAUAGUACACCUCAUCAAAUGUUGAAGAAAAGUCCAUACUAGCCUACGAAGGCAACUUCCACAAUAUGUAGUACCAUAGAACGAAAGCAGUUUCCAAAUAAUGUAUAGCCUCACAUGCGGCCCAAGGCAUCCAAUAAAAUGGCAAUGCAUUUGUUAUUUGAUGUGGCAAAUCUCAAUGGCAAUGUUGUCAAAUAAAUGUUCAGCAUCCAACUCCAAUGAUGUGCAGCAAGAAUAGGUCAACGCUGGUAUGUGCAGUUAAAUUUGUAACUGUAUGAAUAUAUGUUCAUCAUGGUCUCUAAAAUGUUCGAACUACCACAAGGCAUCCAAGGCCACUUUCAGAGCAUGUGAAACCAAAUCUUUGGAUAGAAAUUUCAGUUUCCAACAACACAAAAAAUUAUCUCCAGAAAUUAGGUGCUAAUGAAGGGUGCAGAUUGUCAAAUCCUCUAGCAAACUUCUAAGUCCUGUGACGACUAGAAAUGGAAUCAGUAUAGUGACCUGCUGAAAACUAUUCUACUGUAAAAUAAAUUUAACCAACUGAACAAACACGUCUUGUGCAUUAGCCAACCUCCAACAUGUAAUUCAUUUUGCUGCCCUCAACAAGCUCCAGACUCUGUUGGUGCAGCUGUCAUGCAUUCAGAUUCCACAAAUAAUGAAGGAAUCCAGAAAUUAGGGCCAAAUGACCAGCUUCGAAUAAAAAAUUCCCUAACACAUCAAUCACGUUCUAGCUAACAAACAUCUUCAUAAGGAUCUAACUGUGACACAGAACAGCAAAGUCAAUGGUGUGAACCCAGAGAGCUUUCAAAUGCACAAUCUUCAAACCCAUUUAGAAUAACACUAGCUGACCACAAACAGAUAGUUCAGUAAGUUCUGAUAACUUGAUACAUCAGGCUUACAAAUGUGCACUCUCCAAGAACAGCAACAUGCAUUCAAAUCAAAUGAUAAAAAUAAACUAACAAUAAUCAGAAUAUGUUCUGCACAUAUUAGAAAUCAACAUUCCUUUCCAAAUUACUACCUUUCAGGCACACAUGCAUACAUUUGCACCUCAAAAUUUUACAAUAGCCAAGUGUCUAAUCAAAGUAAAGAUAAUUAUAUGAAAAAUUAAUAGCUCAAAAAUCAAAAUACAAUCCAAUAAUUAAUAUAUAUAUAUAUAUUUAAUUAAAUAUAAUUCAUAAAUUUCCCCUGAAAUUAAAUCAAUUCAAAAAUCGAUUCGAUUCAAUUUGGUUCGAUUUGAAUAUAUAA
rnacentral:misc_RNA from 1 species